CAUAUUCUUCGGAAACGAGUGCAUCUCUACCGGCGGUAACAGCCCGCGAGCCGAAAGGCUGAUUCGUUGAAAUUACGAAGCCGACAGACAGUCUGGAUGGGAGAAGAAAUAC
rfam:Firmicutes bacterium CAG:466 genomic scaffold, scf204